CAGGACGAACGCUGCGGCAUGCUUAACACAUGCAAGUCGAACGAGAAUCUGUGGAUCGAGGAUUCGUCCAAGUGAAGCAGAGGACAGUGGCGGACGGGUGAGUAACGCGUGAGGAACCUGCCUUUCAGAGGGGGACAACAGUUGGAAACGACUGCUAAUACCGCAUAACGCGUAGAGGUCGCAUGGCCUUUACGCCAAAGAUUUAUCGCUGAAAGAUGGCCUCGCGUCUGAUUAGCUAGUUGGUGGGGUAACGGCCCACCAAGGCGACGAUCAGUAGCCGGUCUGAGAGGAUGAACGGCCACAUUGGGACUGAGAUACGGCCCAGACUCCUACGGGAGGCAGCAGUAGGGAAUAUUGCACAAUGGAGGAAACUCUGAUGCAGCCAUGCCGCGUGUGUGAAGAAGGCCUUCGGGUUGUAAAGCACUUUCGGAGGGGAGGAAAAGAUGACGUUACCCUCAGAAGAAGCACCGGCUAACUCCGUG
rnacentral:rRNA from 1 species